rnacentral:misc_RNA from 1 species
CUACAUGGCAUUGUUAGUGGUGUUAAAACAAAAGGGAGGCAAUUUUAGAUAAACUAGAAAUAGAUGAGUCCAACAAGCAAUAAAGAUGAGAUAGAUAAUGAAAGAAGAUUGAAAACAAGGUAUGAGAGGGGGUAAAGGAGCAUGGGCUUUGAAAAUGGAAAUAUGGGCAGUCUGCGAUCCAGAGUGUGGUGGUUCAAUGAGAUGCUGCGACUUUUCAACACUGCUGACACUAAUUCCAGCAACUUCCCAGUCUGUUAACACCAGAUUCUGGUAGAUCAGCAAAUUCUAGAAUCUAGUGGUAGUGUCUUUUGCCAAUGGAAGUGCUUGUAAGGCACAUUUUUCCAAAGCCUAAUGCCUGGAACAAG